UACGUAGGGUCCGAGCGUUGUCCGGAAUUACUGGGCGUAAAGAGCUCGUAGGUGGUUUGUCGCGUUGUUCGUGAAAACUCACAGCUCAACUGUGGGCGUGCGGGCGAUACGGGCAGACUAGAGUACUGCAGGGGAGACUGGAAUUCCUGGUGUAGCGGUGGAAUGCGCAGAUAUCAGGGGGAACACCGGUGGCGAAGGCGGGUCUCUGGGCAGUAACUGACGCUGAGGAGCGAAAGCGUGGGGAGCGAACAGG
rnacentral:rRNA from 1 species